GUGUGGAUGUCCGUGUGAGGACCGAAUUUACCUUCAUAAAGCGAAUGAAGACAAGGCAAGAUUGACGGAUUCACACCAUCUAAAAUAAAGUUAUCACAUCUAUUGAAGCAAAAUAUUGUUUACCGCACUCUCAUAGGAAAAUGAAAGAAACUUACAUUGCAAGAAAUGUAUAACCAUCAGCACCAAAGAAUAGCUCGAAAUGGUCAUAUUCUUAGCAUCGUUGAUGUCUUGGCACUGCGCCCAGAGUUUCACCACCAAUACCAAAGGUGGUCAUUCGAGGUACUAACGUUGUGAGUAGCAAUACAGCAAAUGUGUAUUUCUGAUUCCGACAGCAUUAUUGCAAUUUAAAUCGACAUCCAAACUUUGCAUUGAAUCUCGGAAUUUCAGAAUUGGCACCUUAGCUU